UCUUUUCUUUUCCCAUAUAUUGUUAACUCUUUAGCUAAAUACUGAAGUUGGAAUCAAGAGUCAAGCAAAUUGGACAUUGCUCAACGAGUGAAUGGCUCAUUUCAUACAUUCUUUUGAAGCUUGGGACCAGUACAAUUAUAGCUCAAAGUUUGCCCAAUGCAGUAAAAGGAAUACUAGACAGACUAGGAUAAUGUGUUGGAAGGAUUAGAAUAUGGAAUGAGGAAACUCUAAAUCUACUAAUCGAUAUAAACUGUUGAGCUGUAAAUGAAAAAUGGCAAAAAGUUCUUAAAAUUUCCGGCGUAAGAUAAUUCAUGCUUCAUCUCAAGACAUCCUACCAUCCUACAUGGUCUUCUUGAAUACCAGAUCUGUAAAGGAUUCUGUAAAACAGAAGACCAUCCCACCAGCAUCCUACUCGCACUUGAUUGACCGGUAUAUGUGACGGACAAAAAAUAGGGCUGCGCGGAAACCCACAGUCCCGAGCAUGAGAAAGAAACCAUAGCAGAUGCAAGCCAUGUAUCCAAAGAAGAAUGAGGUUUGCAUGAAGCCGGACAUAUCAGAACGGGCAUAAUAGUAAUACAAGCAGUAGCCGUAGAUGAAGAGUCCAG
rnacentral:lncRNA from 1 species